rnacentral:rRNA from 1 species
CCUGAGAGGGCGCACGGACACACUGGAACUGAAACACGGUCCAGACUCCUACGGGAGGCAGCAGUGGGGAAUUUUGCGCAAUGGGGGAAACCCUGACGCAGCAACGCCGCGUGGAGGAUGAAAUCCCUUGGGAUGUAAACUCCUUUCGAUCGGGACGAUUAUGACGGUACCGGAAGAAGAAGCCCCGGCUAACUUCGUGCCAGCAGCCGCGGUAACACGAGGGGGGCAAGCGUUGUUCGGAAUUAUUGGGCGUAAAGGGCGCGUCUGGCGGUUUGACAAGUCUGAUGUGAAAUCUCUGGGCUCAACCCAGAGUCUGCAUUAGAAACUGUCGGGCUUGAGUAUGGGAGAGGUGAGUGGAAUUUCCCGGUGUAGCGGUGACAAUGCGUAGAUAUCGGAAGGAACACCUGUGGCGAAAGCGGCUCACUGGACCAUAACUGACGCUGAGGCGCGAAAGCUAGGGGAGCAAACAGGAUUAGAUACCCUGGUAGUCCUAGCCCUAAACGAUGAUUGCUUGGUGUGACAGGU